rnacentral:lncRNA from 1 species
GGAGUGGGCGGCGCGGGGUGGGUGGAGUGGGUCGGCGGCGGGGAUCCUGCCGAGCCCGCAGCUGCCCUCUUUUAGCGCCGUGUCUCCUCCCCGGCCCUGGCUCGUCCCACCUCAGCCACAGCCCGGCCCCCUGGCCGGCCGAGGUCUCGCCGCCGGCGCCCUGGGGACCUCGUGGGUGUGGCCGGCGGCGACCUCGGCAGGCGACAGCCCAGCAGACGGGCACCAGGUGGACGUGCCAGUCUCCAGACCCCCGUCCCGGUGCAGGGAAGGUGGGCGUUUGGACCCCUGAGGCAGAAACAGGUGCGGCCCCGCCGGCGCAUCCCCCGGAAGGGACGCUGACUUCGUUCCCCUGGAGCCUGCGUCGGGGCCCGCGCUGGGCUGAGAAUUACGGGAACGCCGUGAGAGUUUGCAUUCCGAGGAUUUGGUCUGAGAACCUCACCAGCGAAAUAGAGAACUGCCCCCGGGAGAGCCGGCCCACGUGCCGCCCACCGGCGCCUUGACGGCAGGGAGAGGUCGAGCUUCCAGGGAGCGGGCGCCCGGCGCGGGGCUCCCAGCCUGUCUGUACCUGGUCGAGACACCCCGUGCCAGAGGCGGAACAUGUAUGAAAUGCCAGGUCUGUUGAGAUUGUCUAUUUUUUCUUGAGUCAGCCGUCUGAAAAGAACACGAGGUGGACAGGGCAGAGCGGUCAAGGAAAGCCAUAGGAGGAGGGCACUUAUUUGAGCAAAGACCGGCGGGACGUGGGCGUCGAGGGUAAGGAUAUCUGCAGAAGUACUGUCUUGAGCAAGGAGCACGGCAGACAGAGCCUCUGAGACACGAGAGCCUGGAGUGUAAGAAACACAGUAGAGGCCACUAAGUCGAGAACGCAGGAGCUGGAAGGACUGGAAAUGGGCAGCCUUCGGAAGACUGAGCACACGGAAGGAUAUGACUAACCCUUUAAAAGGGUCAUUCUGACUCCUGGGUGAAGAACAGACUAGGAAGGGCUGAGGAGGAGGCAGGAGGCCAUCUACUGUUAUAUGGGAUGUGGAGUGUGACCCGGAAAGGUCAAGUGUGACUCUAAGGGCUUUUUGUGUACUGAUCUUUUAUCCUGCAACCUUGCUAAACCCAUUUAUUAGUUCUUCUUGUCUUUUAGUGGCAUUUAUUAGUUGUUCUAGUGUUUUAGUGGAUUCCUUGGGAUUUUAUACAAAAGCGUGUCAUUUGUGAAUAGAGAUCAGUUUAUCUCUUCCUUUCUAAUCUGGAUGCCUUUUAUUUCUUCUCCUUGCCUAGCUGCCCUAUCUAGAAGCUCCAGUACAAUAUUGACUAGAAGCAGCAAGAGUGGACAUCCUUGUCUUGCUCCUGAUUUCAGGGAGGAGGCAUCCAGUCUUUCACCUUUGGACAUCCUGAGGUUCCCACCAAGUGGACAUUGGCUUAUUCUACAAGCAACAGGAUGAGGCCCCUGGACUCCUCACUAGCAAAAUAGUGCAGUGACAGCAACACCCCCCCCCACACACACACACACAAAGAUGUCCACAUCUUAAUUCCUGGAACCUGUGAAUGUGUGACCUUACCUGGUGUCUUAGUUCAUUUGUGCCACUGUAACAAAAUACCACAGACUGGGUAAUUUAUAAACAAUAUAAAUUUGUUUCUCAUGGUUCUGAAGGCUGGGAAGUCCAAGAUCAAGGCACUGGCAUGUCCUGUGUCUGGUGAGAGCACUUCGUUACUGUUUCCUCUGGAGGGAAGAAUGCUGUGUCCUCACAAGGUGGGAUGGACAGAGGGGCAAGAAAAGGCCAAACUCCACAGGAAGCCUCUUUUAUAAGAGGAGCCCUCGUGACCUAGUCCGAAAUGGCCCCACCUCUUCUUUCACCACAAUGGGGACCAAGUUUGUUGUUAGUUAACCUAAAUGACAGAGGAGCUCUCUAAAGAGAUAUUUAUUCAGGAAUAGGGCCUUGCAACGGGAACACGUAUAUUACGGUAACUGCAUGUUCAAGGAAGACAAAAGUUUUAAAGGAAGAAAGGAAGAUUACAUAAUCAUUUUGAAAUGAUACUCUUGACUGCAAAGAUUAAUAGCAAGGGAGACACCGGUCCAAGUUUGGAAGGUAGCUGCUGGGCAGGUAUCCUUGCAGAAGUAUUUUCUUGUGUAAGAUUUCAGCGGCCUUGGCCAGGUGUGGUGGCUCACGCCUAUAAUCCUAGUAGUUUGGGAGGCUGAGGUGGGUUAAUCACUUGAAGUCAGGAGUUCAAGACCAGCCUGGCUAACAUAGUGAAACUCUGUCUUCACUAAAAAUACAAAAAUUAGCCGGGCAUGGUGAUGCAUACCUCUAAUCCCAGCUACUCAGGAGGCUGAGGCAGGAGAAUCACUUGAACCCGGGAGGCAGAGGUUGCAGUAAGCCAAGAUUGCACCACUGCACUCCAGCCUGGGCGACAGAGCAAGACUUGGGCUCAAAAAAAAAAAAAAAAAAUUCAAUGGCCUUUGUGCAAGGUUGUGGGUUUUGUGGUCUUUUGUGAUAGUUUUUGUUAUCGGGCAUAUGGACCCUCUCUUCAUGGCCUUCCCUAGCUCUAUUUGUUAGGGUUUUCUUAACAUUAGUCACUCUGUUUUGAUUCUGACAACUUUCAGUUUCAACAUGAAUUUUGGAGGGGAUGCCAUCUUUUAAAUCAUCGUACCUGGUAAAAGGGACUUUGGAGAUGGGAUUAAGUGAAGGGCCUUCAGAUGGGGGGUUAUCCUGCGCUAUCCAGGUAGGUCCCAUAUAAUCACGAUCAUGAGAGGGAGGUAGGAGCUUCACAGUUGGACAGAAGAUGUGACCACAGAAGCAGGGGUCAGAGGAGGGAAGAUGCUGGCUUUGAAGGCAGAGGAAGGGGCCACAAGCCAAGGAAUGUGGAGACCCCUAGAAGCUGGAAAAGGCAGGGACAGAUUCUCCCCUACCCUAGAGCCUCCAGAAGGAGCCAGCCCUGCCAACACCUUGACUUUACCUCAGUGAGAUAAUUUAGACUUCUGACCUCAGAACUGUAAGAGAAUAAAUGCUUGUGUUUCGACCACUGAAUUUUUGGUAAUUUGCCAUAGCAGCUGCAGGAAACAUAUACACAUGGUGACUAGUUACUGAGUUCCUUCCCCAGACACACUCAGGAGCAUGUAACCACCACAGCCUCCUAGUGGAAGCACAGGUCCUGCAGAGAGGCCAUGCCUGUGCACCCCAGGAGCCAAGGCCACCCUCCUGCACAGGGCACCACCCCUUGCACCUGCACACUCCAGCCUCCACACAGCCCUUGGUCAGGGCUGGGUACACCAGGGAAUGUUUCAAAGUAAAGCAUCCCUUACUGUGGUCAUUCUCAGCACUUUUUUUCUGGAAAGACAGAUAUGACAGAAUAUGUUCAUGUGUGACAUGGGCCCAUGGGGGUGUUUGGGAUAGUUAUCAUAUCCAGCACACCGAGAAGGUUGAUAUUGAGAACUGGGACAGGAAAAAAUACCAUCUUUAUCAUCACUGGCCUUUAACCAAAAUUUAACAUUUUCCUGAAUUAUGAAUCUAGGCAACCAACUGCUGCAGCAGCAUCAGCAGUGUCCGGGACUCCACCUCCUACAGAAGUCGUGGAUGUCUCACAUCACAUCACCAUUGCUGCAGAUGCCACAGAAUACCAUUCUGCUCAUCAUUGCUCCAAAAUUACCAUAACUCCUGGACCAGCUGCUUGAUUACAUUAUUUAAUGCAUUCAUAAAGAGGCACAUGCAGUACUGUACCACCGUUUAAAAUUUGUGAUGAAAGUACUUUAAUUUCAUUUUUAAUUUUGUAGGCAUUAAAAGCAUUAUCUGAAUCUC